UAACCUGCCCAAGAGAUCGGGAUAACACCUGGAAACAGAUGCUAAUACCGGAUAANAACAGAUGAUGCCUAUCAACUGUUUAAAAGAUGGUUCUGCUAUCACUCUUGGAUGGACCUGCGGUGCAUUAGCUAGUUGGUAGGGUAACGGCCUACCAAGGCGAUGAUGCAUAGCCGAGUUGAGAGACUGAUCGGCCACAUUGGGACUGAGACACGGCCCAAACUCCUACGGGAGGCAGCAGUA
rnacentral:rRNA from 1 species